rnacentral:tRNA from 1 species
GGUUUUUUAACUUAACGGUAAAGUGCGAACUUGAUAAGUUUGAAAUGUUGGUUCGAUUCCUUCAAAAAUCA